rnacentral:rRNA from 1 species
UUCGGUGGUCAUAGCGAUGGGGAAACGCCCGGUUACAUUUCGAACCCGGAAGCUAAGCCUGUCCGCGCCGAUGGUACUGCAUGCGGGAGCGUGUGGGAGAGUAGGUCGCCGCCGAAC